AUGAAAAAACCAAAAGGUUGUUCUACUAACUAAAUUAUAGUGCAUUGCGAGUUCUAUUGACUUUUUGUAAAUGAAUUACGGCGAUUAAACUUUUCUGCCGAAAUUUUAGCAAUACAUAAAACUGUUUCCGACCAGGUUUUGUCGAUGUCAUAAUAUUCGUAUAGAAAUUCUUGUUCUUAUCAUAUAAUGUUUUUUAGAUAUCUUGGUUAUGGAGCACUCCCUGCAAUCGAUUCGGUUAUUCAUAAUUGUAUCGAAAAUCACGUUAAACCCCAAAACUUGUAAAGAUUUCAAUAACACUUCCAAACAAAAUUGCUCUUAAAAUAAUAAGGAAUUAUCUUUAUUCCACCAUUGAAAAUUAAAAAAAAAAAGAAAUUUUCAUUUUCGACCAAUCUCGAGAAAAAUGAAGAAAUUACACUUACGCCCGAUUGUUGAAUUUGAUCGCUAAUACUUUUGUUUUUACAUGAAACAACAAAAAGCUUGUUCUACUAACUAAAUCAAAGUGUAUUUCGAGUUCUAUUGACUUUUUAUAAAUGAAUUACGACGAUUCGACUUUUCGACCGAAAUUUUAGGUGCAAGAAAAACUCUUUCCGAUCAGAUUUUUUUCGUUGUCAUAAUAGUCAUAUAGAAAUUCUGGUUCAUAUCAUAUAAUUUUUUUUAGAUAUCUUGGUUAUGGAGCACUCCCUGCAAUCGAUUCGGUUACUCAUAAUUGUUCCGAAAAUCAAGUUAAACCCCUAAACUUGUAAAGAUUUCAAUAACACUUCCAAACAAAAUUGCUCUUAAAACGAUAAGAAAUUAUCUUUGUUCCACCAUUGAAAAUUUAAAAAAAAAAAGAAAUUUUCUUUUUCGACCAAUCUCGGGAAAAAUGAAGAAAUUACACUUACGCCCGAUUGUUCAAUUUGAUCUCCAAUACUUUUGUUUUAACAUGAAACAACAAAAAGGUUGUUCUACUAACUAAAUCACAGUGUAUUUCGUGUUCUAUUGACUUUUUGUAUAUGAAUUACGACGAUUCGAAUUUUCUGCCGGAAUUUUAGCUGCCCAAAAAACUGUUUCCGAUCAUAUUUUUAUCGAUGUCAUAAUAAUCGUAUAGAAAUUCUGGUUCAUAUCAUAUUAUUUUUU